rnacentral:siRNA from 1 species
CUACGUCCCUGCCCUUUGUA